rnacentral:tmRNA from 1 species
GGGGGCGACCUGGCUUCGACGCGGGUUACGAAACCGGAGGUGCAUGCCGAGGUGCAAAUUCCUCGUUAAUCUGUUUGCAAAACUUAUAGUUGCCAACGACGACAACUACGCUUUAGCUGCUUAAUAACCAGCGUAAAGCCUUCGGCCUGAGGUGUGCCUGUACGCGCAGAUAACCGGAGUCAUCCCAUAUAGGAUCGCGCUGAAGUUUGUUCGGGAUGGAUGCGUUAAACUCUUACCGAAAUCGCCAGCUGUUUUCCCUGCCAGUCGGGUAGCUUCUGGUUAAAUUAAUUGACUGAAUAAGCAUGUAGAGCCGAUGGCAGAGGGCUGGCGGACGCGGGUUCGAUUCCCGCCGCCUCCACCA